ACGGGAGGCAGCAGUGGGGGAUAUUGCACAAUGGGGGAAACCCUGAUGCAGCGACGCCGCGUGAGUGAAGAAGUAUUUCGGUAUGUAAAGCUCUAUCAGCAGGAAAGAUAAUGACGGUACCUGACUAAGAAGCUCCGGCUAAAUACGUGCCAGCAGCCGCGGUAAUACGUAUGGAGCAAGCGUUAUCCGGAUUUAUUGGGUUUAAAGGGUGCGCAGGCGGAUCGGUAAGUCAGGGGUGAAAAGUUGGGGCUUAACUCCAAUCGUGCCUUUGAUACUGCCGGACUAGAGUGCGAUAGACGUGGCCGGAAUGUGAUGUGUAGCGGUGAAAUGCUUAGAUAUGUCACAGAACACCGAUCGAGAAGUCAGGUCACGAGCUCGCAACUGACGCUCAGGCACGAAAGCGUGGGGAUCAAACAGGAUUAGAUACCCUGGUA
rnacentral:rRNA from 1 species